rnacentral:rRNA from 1 species
UACAGGGGGGGCAAGCGUUGUUCGGAAUUACUGGGCGUAAAGGGCUCGUAGGCGGCCGACUAAGUCCGACGUGAAAUCCCAAAGCUUAACUUUGGAACUGCGUCGGAUACUGGAUGGCUUGAAUUCGGGAGAGGGAUGCAGAAUUCCUGGUGUAGCGGUGAAAUGCGCAGAUAUCAGGAAGAACACCUAUGGCGAAGGCAGCUCUCUGGGACGGUACUGACGCUGAGACGCGAAAGCGUGGGGAGCGAACAGG